CGGAGGAGUCAGUGAAGGUUGAAUGAGGGGCAGCUGUGUAAACCGGGGCCUGUGGAUGGCUCACGGUCCAGGCCGUGCAGUUCAGUCCACCCCAGCCAGCGCCAGACCGCCCUCUGACAGCUUGCUGGGCCACCGCUUCCAUCUCGACCUGAGUCGUCGUACUACCAGUGAGGGCCCAUGAGUUGCAGAGUGCCAGGAAGAUCGGAACUUCUCGGAACAGUGCCAAGCAAGAGACCCUUGCUCAGACUCAGGCGACAUGAUGUUGAAGUGAGCGAGGUCAUCCUGGUGCUGAUUAGAUCCUACCUGGAGCACUCCGCCCGUAGUGCGUUCUAGAAGCGCUAGGAAGGCACCAUGGGCUGAACGUUGAGUGCACAGCCCAGCUCUGUCACUUCUUAGCUUGUGCGACUCACUUUCCUCGCAUGUAAAAUGGAGCUGAUAGGUGUGCCUACUUCUUAGGGUUUGGGGGAGGUCCACAGUGAGCUCAUACAUGAAUGUAUUAACACGGGCACUGGUUACUAUCCAGCUUUUAUUUUCUGUGCAAUACUGGCUCUAGGCCCUUGGCCUGUUAGGGAAAAUUAAUGUUAAUCAAUUAAUCCCACAAACAUGUAAAGUUGUAAAAGUGACACUGGCCAAGGAAGGUCCCCAUGAAGGGGGCAGAGUUCUGGAGGUGAACGAGGGAGGAUGUGUGUGUGCAUCUCUGGGGUGGGAGGAACUUGGGGGUCACACGCGACUGCAGUGUUCCCCAAACGGGCAAGGGACUGAGCUGCAGUGCUGAUUGGGGGCGAGGGCAGCUGAAACCUGGCUUGUUCUGUAUCCUAAGAGCGAAGGGGAGCUGGUGCAAGGUUCUAAGGACAGUGGUUGCCAGGAGGAGAUCGGAUGGGAAGGGGGACGAGUAGAGGCGAGACCGUUGCCGUACUCCAGAGAGGUGUGGAAGCAGGGAGUAGAGAGGAAAGUUGAUGGGACUUGGUGAUUGGGUGGAAGAAGAGGGCGGUGUUGCUGGGGCUGCCUGGAUCUCACACCACUUGCAGUGUCUCCCGGGUGGCGGGAUGGGAGGCUGCGUUUCUUGAGCUAUGCACGGGUCACGUGAGUGGGGAUGUUACUGUCUGUGCCUUUCUGGAUGUCUGCAACAUUUGUGACCAAAACAUAUUUUACUUAGGGAAAAAUGAGCCAAUUGUGAAAUGAAGGAGAAGAAAACUGGAUUUCAGUCUUACGCUGGCACAUCUGCUGCCUGAACCUGACCAAGCUUCUUAGCCUUCUGGAUCUGGGAGACGGGGAGUGUCGGCCCGCGCCGCUCAGCACUCCCCAGUGUCUGUGUUAGCCGCCCUGGUGUCCACACAAACCAUCGGUACCCGCAAGCCAGCCUCUCGCUGUCUCCUGCAGAAGUGCUCAUCACUGCCAGGCCUCCUGCUUCCUGUUAGUGCAGGCCUGGAAAGCAGUGGUGAUGGCUCGCGUAACUGGGUUUCCGCCAACCACGUGGGAGGCCUGGAUUGAGUUCCCAGCUCGCAGCUUCAGCCCUGGCCCAGCCCAGCCCUGGUCACUAUGAGCAUUUGAUUUUUACUGAUUUAUUUGAAAGGCCGAGAGACAGAACCUCCAUAUCUGCUGGUUCACUCCCAAAUGGCUGCAAUGGCUGAGGUGCAGCCGGGCUGAAGCCAGGCGCCUGGAACUCUGUCCGUCCUGGUCUUCCAGGUGAGUGCAGGAGCCCAAGGACUUGGGCCAUCAUCUGCUGCCUUGCCAGACACAUUCACAGGGAGCUGGAUCAGAAGUGGAGCAACUGGGACUCCAACAGACGCUCAUGUGGGACACGAGCUUUGCAUGUGGUGGCUCAACCUCUGCGCCACGGCGCCGGCCCCUAGCAGAGUUUUCUUGAGAGUCCUCCGUUUGCCCCACACGUGGGUAGUCUGUUCUCUCCGUGGCU